rnacentral:misc_RNA from 1 species
CCCGGCUUAUCACCGGCAGUUUCUUUAGAGUGCCCAACUAAAUGAUGGCAACUAAGGGCGAGGGUUGCGCUCGUUGCGGGACUUAACCCAACAUCUCACGACACGAGCUGACGACAGCCAUGCAGCACCUGUGUCUAGGUUCCCUUUCGGGCACUCCUGCAUUUCUGCAGGAUUCCUAGCAUGUCAAAGGUAGGUAAGGUUUUUCGCGUUGCAUCGAAUUAAACCACAUCAUCCACCGCUUGUGCGGGCCCCCGUCAAUUCUUUUGAGUUUUAGCCUUGCGGCCGUACUCCCCAGGCGGGGCACUUAAUGCGUUAGCUUCGGCACGGCAACCGUUGAUCGGGUCGCCACACCUAGUGCCCAACGUUUACAGCGUGGACUAC